ensembl:lncRNA
CAUUGAUGGUGAUGCUUUCCAGACAAUGAGUGAUGCUGGAUUUCCUGGGUUACGCAAAUAGCCUAGUACUCAGACUAGGUAGAGAGAUCUGAAAGCCUAUCUUUAGGUUUUCCGUGGUUUGAGGGGUUCGAAGUGUUGAGUUUAGGUAGGCCUACGCAAUGUUUUCCUUUCAAAAAUGCAUUAUUGGUCAAAAUUCUGAGUUUGUCAAGACUGGUAUAAUCGUUUGUUUGUGAUUCUAGGAGUGAUUCCAGCCAAUGGGAAGGUGGAGGUGACCGUCACAUUCAGACCGUUCCAGUAUGACACGUCCCAGGUCACUCUACAGGUGGUCAUCUCCCAGUUCAACUCCAAACCCUAUGUCUGCAGCCUCAGCGGGUCCUCCUCGCCCCACCUGACACUUACGUAUGCCAGAACCAUUUUGAAAUGUUAAAGUCAACAGGAGAAAGACAUGGGACACGCAAAAUACGUUUUGUUUGUUGACAGUCAAGGGCCUCCACCUGUCUCCUUGAGACAGCCUCUGACCAAAACCAAGCAGAGGUCAAUUCGGACACCUGAAAAGUCAAAGACUGUAAGGGAGAGAAGAGAGAGUGAUGCGAAGCUGAGCCUGAAGACUGCAGUUGAUGUGUCCUCCCCUGCUGGAGUGGUCAAGAUACUGAUACAACGGACUGAUAAAUUGAGCUCUUAAGACCUGAGGGAAGGUACCUGGACAAGUUUUACACCCGUAAUCAACUUUCACACCAGUAAUCAACAUACAUGAGAUUUUCUCUAAGAGAUGAAGGAGUGUCAUUCACUAUUCACUUAAUGUAAAGAGGGGAGAAACCGGGUUUGACGGAUGACUUGUUUGCUAGUAUGACUGAAAGCUAACUCAGAUGAUUCAAAGUCUGGAAUGCUUAAUUCAUUGCCAUUUGGGUCUGCUGCAGACUGUAUUUGCUGUUACUAAGUUACAGAUAUACAGUUGAAGUCGGAAGUUUACAUACACUUAGGUUGGAGUCAUUAAAACUCGUUUUUCAACCAUACCACACAUUUCUUGUUAACAAACUAUAGUUUGUUUGACAUUUACUUUGUGCAUGACACAAGUAAUUUUUCCAACAAUUGUUUGCAGACAGAUUAUUUCCCUUAUAAUUCACUGUAUCACAAUUCCAGUGGCUCAGAAGUUUACAUACACUAAGCUGACUGUGCCUUUAAACAGCUUGGAAAAUUGGCUUUAGAAGCUUCUGAUAGGCUAAUUGACAUCAUUUGAGUCAAUUAGAGGUGUACCUGUGGAUGUAUUUCAAGGCCUACCUUCAAACUCAGUGCCUCUUUGCUUGACAUCAUGGGAAAAUCAAAAGAAAUCAGCCAAGAUCUCAGAAAAAAUAUUGUAGACCGCCACAAGUCUGGUCCAUCCUUGGGAGCAAUUUCCAAAUGUCUGAAGGUACCACAUUCAUCUGUACAAACAAUAGUACGUAAGUAUAAACACCACGGGACCACGCAGCCGUCAUACCGCUCAGGAAGGAGACGCUUUCUGUCUCCUAGAGAUUAACGUACUUUGGUGCGAAAAGUGCAAAUCAAUCCCAGAACAACAGCAAAGGACCGUGUGAAGAUGCUGGAGGAAACAGGAACAAAAGUAACUAUAUCCACAGUAAAAUGAGUCCUAUGUCAACAUAACCUGAAAGGCCGCUCAGCAAGGAAGAAGCCACUAGUCCAAAACUGCCAUAAAAGAACCAGACUACGGUUUGCAACUGCACAUGGGACAAAGAUUGUACGUUUUGGAGAAAUGUCCUCUGGUCUGAUGAAACAAAAUAGAACUGUUUGGUCAUAAUGACCAUCGUUAUGUUUGGAGGAAAAAGGGGGAGGCUUUUAAGCUGAAGAACACCAUCCCAACCGUGAAGCACGGGGGUGGCAGCAUCAUGUUGUGGGGGUGCUUUGCUGCAGGAGGGACUGGUGCACUUCACAAAAUGGAUGGCAUCAUGAGGGAGGAAAAUUGUGGAUAUAUUGAAGCAACAUCUCAAGACAUCAGUCAGGAAGUUAAUGCUUGGUCGCAAAUGGGUCUUCCAAAUGGACAAUGACCCCAAGCAUACUUCCAAAGUUGUGGCAAAAUGGCUUAAGGACAACAUAGUCAAGGUAUUGGAGUGGUGAUCCUAACUGACCUAAAACAGGAAUUUUUCCUGGGAUUAAAUGUCAGGAAUUGUGAAAAAAUUUGUUUAAAUGUAUUUGGCUAAGGUGUAUGUAAACUUCAACUUGGUGUAUAUACACUGCUCAAAAAAAUAAAGGGAACACUAAAAUAAUUCAUCCUAGAUCUGAAUGAAUUCUUAUUAAAUACUUUUUUCUUUACAUAGUUGAAUGUGCUGACAACAAAAUCACACAAAAAUUAUCAAUGGAAAUCAAAUUUACGGGGUACGGUGUGUAGAUUGAUGAGGAAAAGUACAUUUUAGAAUAAGUCUGUUACAUAACAAUGUGGAAAAAGUAAAGGGGUCUGAAUACUUUCCGAAGGCACUGUAGAUGACCAUAUCUAUGAUUAUGUACUAAAUGUCACAUGUCACUCAAACUGUACUGUAGAUAAAUGUUGAAGGAUUUUUUUUUGAUAAAGGCAAGUUCACCUUGGGAAGGACCCUGUCUCGACACAGACCAAAAUACAGGUUUUGUAGGAGAGAUUUUUUAACCAUGUGAAUAUAUGGUUAGAUUUGUAAUUUAUCAUGAUAGUCAUAAUAAUCAUAAAACACUGUUGCUGUAUGUUGUAUAUCCAACAUGUUUCAUGUUUUCCUCUGCUCUGGCUUUGUUUUCUCAUCACUUGUGCAGCAAUCUGGGCAACCAGUUCUUCUCCGGUUUGCAUACCCUAUGGGUAACUAUGACUUAUAUACACAACAUGACCAAAAGUAUGUGGACAUCUGCUCGUCGAACAUCUCA